rnacentral:lncRNA from 10 species
AAUUUGGACACAGAGACAGACAUGCACAGAGGCAGAACACCACGUGAAGAUAAAAGCAGAGAGGGAGGUGAUGGUUUUACACCAAGCAUCACCGAAGAUCGCCAGCCACACGCCAGGGGCAGCUGAAUGCCGUGCAGGUGCAGCCUGGGGUGCUCCAUCCAGCCACUUGCUUAAUGUUUACAGCGAUUUAGUGAGGCAUUUGCUGUAAUUACCUCAUCCCAUAGUAGUGGAAACUGAGGCACAGAAAGAGUGCUGCAGCCUCUCACCUGAAUCCCAGAGCUCUUGUGAAGUUACUUUCAUCUAUGGAUGGUUAUUAAAUUGGUGUUUUCAGCUUACAGUGAAAGAUCUUCAGAACACCAAUUCAGUUGCCUUCAGGGUUAAACCAUAAUAUCAACACAAAAUGGAUCAAGAGCCAGUCAUCCUAAAAAGACCACAUGCAUGGCCCCUGAUCUAGCAAAAGUAGUCACAAAUGCAGCUGAAUGUGUGGAAACCUCUAAGAGAAAAUGUGUGAAUCACAGAAAGAGUGGCUCCAGUCAUGGAACGUGGAGAAAGCUGCCACAGAAGCAAAGGCUGCCUAUGCUCAUGCCAGCACUGACAGGGAGAACUCUCCGCCCUCUACCUUGGGUAUUCUGGCUCCAAUGACAGGGCUGUCUCUGGAAUGAAGGUAGAAGCAGGGGCCAAACUAAAUGAACUUCAAAUACCCUGAUCUAACUAGCUACUCUAAACCACUGUGAGAUGGAUUGGUGGCAACUUACACUUCCAAUUCAUCCAAUUCCUUUCCCUAUGAUUCCCUCACUCACAAAAACCUGCUCAUUACCAUUGGCCUCCCUUAUAGAUCUAUGUACAGGAACAGUUGGGGGCUGUUUGGGGAAUGUGCUUUGGCUCUUUUGAUAGUUCCCAUUCUAUCAGUGGGGCUUGGGUAAUAUGAAUCUGCAACUGACCGGGGCUGGGGAGAUGUUACUCUCAGAUGGUUGGGUUUAUCCUAUUUAUGAAUCCACAGGCCCAAAGGUUAAAUGGUGGACCAAUUAAAUUUACCAAAGGCAGGCAUGUUUCCCCGUGAGGUGUCCUGGCAACAGGCGGCCCUCCUGGACAUGCCACAGCAUGUCAGGGGCUGCUUUUCAUGACUGAAUCCGCUCCACCGCACCCCUCUGCAGGCUCCUUCCCCACUCACCUUGUCCUUUUUCUUUCCUGCUUUCACUGGGCGCUCCCUUUCUCUGUCCACAGCUAGCUUUAAGUUUUUAAGUUCCUGUCUCAUCAACUCAUCAACCUAGGAGAAUACAAAACAUACUACUUUUAAGUCACUUUGCAUGUCUUGUGUUUUGUUUGUGAAGUUUAAAAAUCCCUUAAAUUAUGGGGUAGGUCAUUAGUAGGAAAUUGUAAAGAAGCACAAUGGUUGAAGUAAAUGAUUUGCUGUUACUACACCAUAAACGUAGCUGUACCUGUAUCCUGAUCUCUGACUGUAAUUCUUUUCGUUUCUCCUCUUUGAUCAGUUCUGGAUCAUAGUCCUGAGAGAAAUUCCAAGACUCAUCUUUUUUCAUCCAGAUUUCUACACUCCAGAAGGGUAAAGAAAAAGAAAAAGAAAAAAUUUUAAAAAGAUAUAGGUUAAUGAAAUUUUAAAAAGACGUAGGUUAAUUGUAAGUUAUUGCAAUAUAAACAUAAGCCUAACUUUAUAUGUUAUUGCAUAGGAUAAAAGUUUGAAUAAAAUAAGCUGGACAGAUGAGAUUCAUAUAUGUGCUUGUAAAUGCACUAAAAAAAGAAAAAAAACUGCUGAUGUAAAAAUAUUGAGUUUUAGUUUACUCAAUAUUUUUUAAGUGUGAUACAAUAGUAUUCUACUGUAUUAUUAUAAUCAUGUAAAAACAAUAUGUUAAUGCUGGGAUUAUACAAUCACAGAUGACCUUUUUUGUAAUGUUUUAUCUUACUUUUUUUCUUCAAAUGAUUCACUAAAAUACGAAAGAUUUUGUUGCCUGUUGAACUCUCCAGGAAUUAUCCCUUGC